rnacentral:rRNA from 1 species
AUGGCUCGUGGCGAUCAUCAAAUUGAUGAUGAUGAUUUCAUGGAUCCACCACAGCGUAAUCGGGCAACUGGACAGAGAAAAGAGGGUGAUGAGAAGAAGAAACAUAUUCGCAGUAGAGCCUCCCAAGAACGAGUGACUGUGUUGACUGACAAAUUCACCGGCGAUCAGAAGGGAGCUGCUGCUGAGAUGGGUAUGCAGGCUCUGAUGGAUGUCCGGUGCACGAACCUUGUCAACCCUGUAUGCGACUGGCUUGGUGAGAUCUACCAACCCGCCUCCAGGGAAUUCAUGAUUCCGGGACGUGGAAGACUACGGUUGAACGAGGAAUCCAUGUUCUGUACUUUGGGUGUGCCUCGUGGACAUAUCAGCGUCCCGUACAAGGUCAACAAUGAGAUAGAGGAAGCGAUGUUCCCCCGUUUGUUUCCUGGAUUGGAAUCCAUGCCGAACACGUCUGCACUAGCAGAUUCGCUGCAGGCCAUGACGACGCAUGGAGAUGUUUUGAAGAUGAAGCUACUCAUGUACCUCAUCUCAGCUGUUUUCGCGCCGACCACUUCUCUUCGCCCAAGCAACAAAUGCUUCCCCAUCCUGGCGGAUCUGAAAAAUGUGAAGAACAUGAAUUGGUGUAAGUUUAUUGCCGACUUCCUGCAUGAUGCAUUCUCAAGCAAGAUGUACCAAAAGGGUUGUCAACUGCAUUUAAUGCUCAUGUAUGUAGACUGUCUUGAUCUGUCCAUCGUGGAUUUCACUGGGAUAGGAGGCCCGCCGCCCACGCACAAGUUUGUUGUUUCUGCGUGGAAUAUCAACGCUGUCAAGGCUGUGCUUGCCGCAGACAGGGUAACUGAUACCAAAUAUGGAAAACUGCAGCUGAUGGCCAAGCAUGCUAUAGACUACAGCGUGUUUGGGGGGCCUCAAAACUUUGAAAAGUGGAUGGACGUGCACUCAGCUCCGUCUUGCCCUACUGAGGCGGUGGCACCUGUUGAGCAUCUAAUUGGGCAGUUUGCAUCCGGAAUGACCGGCUUGCUUGGGAAGUUGGUUGAGGGUUCCCAAGAGCCCGGUGACACACAAGAUGAUCUAGAUGGAGACGCUGGCCUCAGCAAGGAUGACGACGAUGACAUGGAGAAUGUGCAACAGGACACCGAUGAUGAUGAAUAUGCUGAAGUUCGCGUAGGUGGUAACAAGGGCAAGGAUGCAACAGAUGUCCCACCACCAGAGAAAGUCAAAGAACAUACGGCUGCGAGAGGCGAGGGGGUGUUGCCAUCAAGGAGGGGGAGGGAUCGAGAGGAUGUUGGGCAGGGUUCUCCUGGCAAGAGGUCUAGGACCGAUCCCGUAGCUGCCAGGAGGAGCGAGCCGACCGCUGGUGGACGAGCAGUUAUGAAGAAACAGGCGCCAACGCCAACCCGUGUUUCUGCUCGGUUGAACAAAGGUGCCCCCAUUGCCGGUGACACCCCUUCCACCAGGUCUUCUCCUCGUACGAUGACGACCAACACCGGGGAUCCUGUCGUGUUGCUAGACCUAAGGAAGCCAGUCAAGAAGGUGAAGAAGACUACUAUGCGUGGGGCCAAGCAUAUCAUUAAGGACCCACUCGAACGCCUGCAUUCAAAGUUGUCAACAGGGGGCAACUCAGAUGUUCAUGAGGCGCCAGGCGACAAUACGGCUGCUGCACCGUCAACUGCUCCUACUAACUCUGAUAGGCAUCCGUACAUCGGGGAGUGA